UGGGGAAUUUUGGACAAUGGGCGAAAGCCUGAUCCAGCAAUGCCGCGUGCAGGAUGAAGGCCUUCGGGUUGUAAACUGCUUUUGUACGGAACGAAAAAGCUUCUCCUAAUACGAGAGGCCCAUGACGGUACCGUAAGAAUAAGCACCGGCUAACUACGUGCCAGCAGCCGCGGUAAUACGUAGGGUGCGAGCGUUAAUCGGAAUUACUGGGCGUAAAGCGUGCGCAGGCGGUUAUGUAAGACAGAUGUGAAAUCCCCGGGCUCAACCUGGGAACUGCAUUUUGUGACUGCAUGGCUAGAGUACGGUAGAGGGGGAUGGAAUUCCGCGUGUAGCAGUGAAAUGCGUAGAUAUGCGGAGGAACACCGAUGGCGAAGGCAAUCCCCUGGACCUGUACUGACGCUCAUGCACGAAAGCGUGGGGAGCAAACAGGAUUAGAUACCCUGGUAGUCCACGCCCUAAACGAUGUCAACUGGUUGUUGGGAAUUAGUUUUCUCAGUAACGAAGCUAACGCGUGAAGUUGACCGCCUGGGGAGUACGGCCGCAAGGUUGAAACUCAAAUGAAUU
rnacentral:rRNA from 1 species